GGGGUUGUAGUUCAGUGGUAGAGCGCUUGCCUCACAUGCAUGAGACCCUAGGUUCAAUCCCUAGCACCA
rnacentral:tRNA from 1 species